UACGGAGGGUGCAAGCGUUAAUCGGAAUUACUGGGCGUAAAGCGUGCGCAGGCGGUUUGUUAAGUCCGUUGUGAAAGCCCCGAGCUCAACUUGGGAAUUGCAGUGGAUACUGGCAGGCUGGAGUACGGUAGAGGAAGGUGGAAUUCCCGGUAUAGCAGUGAAAUGCGUAGAUAUCGGGAGGAACACCAGUGGCGAAGGCGGCCUUCUGGACCAGUACUGACGCUCAUGCACGAAAGCGUGGGGAGCAAACAGG
rnacentral:rRNA from 1 species